CCAAUAGCGUAUAUUAAAGUUGUUGCAGUUAAAAAGCUCGUAGUUGAAUUUCGGGAUCAAGUCGUCGGUCGUGCCUCGGUACGCACUGUUGACAUUGGUUUCUCCCUUCUGAAGAACCUUGAUGUCAUUAAUUUGGUGUCUUGGGGAAUCAGGACUGUUACUUUGAAAAAAUUAGAGUGUUUAAAGCAGGCUCACGCUUGAAUACAUUAGCAUGGAAUAAUGAAAUAGGACGUUUGAUUCUAUUUUGUUGGUUUCUAGGAUCGACGUAAUGAUUAAUAGGGAUAGUUGGGGGCAUUAGUAUUCAAUUGUCAGAGGUGAAAUUCUUGGAUUUAUUGAAGACUAACUACUGCGAAAGCAUUUGCCAAGGAUGUUUUCAUUAAUCAAGAACGAAAGUUAGGGGAUCGAAGACGAUCAGAUACCGUCGUAGUCUUAACCAUAAACUAUGCCGACUAGGGAUCGGAUGAUGUUAAUUUUUUAAUGACUCAUUCGGCGCCUUACG
rnacentral:rRNA from 1 species